rnacentral:tRNA from 1 species
GGUCGGUUGGUCUAGUUGGUUAUGGCAUCUCGUUAACACCGAGAAGGUCCUGAGUUCGAUCCUCAGACUGAUCA